AUUGAACGCUGGCGGCAGGCCUAACACAUGCAAGUCGAACGAGCGGCGGACGGGUGAGUAAUGUCUGGGAAUCUGCCUGAUGGAGGGGGAUAACUACUGGAAACGGUGGCUAAUACCGCAUACCAUCGGAUGUGCCCAGAUGGGAUUAGCUAGUAGGUGGGGUAAAGGCUCACCUAGGCGACGAUCCCUAGCUGGUCUGAGAGGAUGACCAGCCACACUGGGACUGAGACACGGUCCAGACUCCUACGGGAGGCAGCAGUGGGGAAUAUUGCACAAUGGGCGCAAGCCUGAUGCAGCCAUGCCGCGUGUAUGAAGAAGGCCUUAGGGUUGUAAAGUACUUUCAGCGGGGAGGCGUUACCCGCAGAAGAAGCACCGGCUAACUCCGUGCCAGCAGCCGCGGUAAUUC
rnacentral:rRNA from 1 species